GGGCACUUUUCUGGACCUGGCUGGCCUCUUCCGUGACCAUGCACAUGGGUCAAGAGCAGUGCAAGAUCAUGUCAUGUCUUGUCAUAACUGGGGUUUCUUGGCCUUAAUUUACCAAGUCUCUCUUUUAAAGCAAGACACACUC
rnacentral:snoRNA from 1 species